UACGUAGGGUGCAAGCGUUAAUCGGAAUUACUGGGCGUAAAGCGUGCGCAGGCGGUUUUGUAAGUCUGACGUGAAAUCCCCGGGCUCAACCUGGGAAUUGCGUUGGAGACUGCAAGGCUAGAAUCUGGCAGAGGGGGGUAGAAUUCCACGUGUAGCAGUGAAAUGCGUAGAGAUGUGGAGGAACACCGAUGGCGAAGGCAGCCCCCUGGGUCAAGAUUGACGCUCAUGCACGAAAGCG
rnacentral:rRNA from 1 species